CAGGCUGACUGGCAGGAAGGAGUCAAUGAAGGAAGAAAAGUCCCUGAUGCAUCUGCCCCUGGUGCUGGGCCAAGCUCUGAAAGAUUUUCAGCUGAGAUCCAUCUAUAUUAAUAAAAGGGUGUGUGUGUCAGCGUCCGCACCAUAGCUUCAAGAACAUGACACCUAGAGACCUGAAAUUUUGCAUGCAUACUAAGGGGACCCUGGGGCAUGCACCUGGGUGCUAUUUUUUUUAUUUGGUUCAAAAAACAUUCGUGAAUUUUUAUUUAAUCUAUACUGCAUAACCCCCUGUGACAGGUCAGCCCCAGAAAGCAGAAUAAAUUUGCAUAUGCAAAACAUUCUUUAGCAAAGCUCAAAGCUCCUGGCCAAGGUUAACCGGUACAACUGGAGAAGGCUCCGCAUUUAGGAGUAUUCCCCUAAGGGCUGUGGUUGGGACUGGUUAGCAGGACCUGGGAGCACCUGCAGGUGGAGUGAGGACUUAAGGAAGGUCCAGGGAGAAAACUGUACUGGGCCUUCUCAGGGACUGAUUAGGGGUUGUGAGAGGCAUUCCUUGUAAGGCAAUCUACAAGAAGCAAACUUGCCAGAAAUCAGCUUGCAAAGGCUAGAGCCAGAGCAGCUGAGACUCCAGAGCAGCAAGUUGUGAGAUGAGAAACAGAGCAGCAAUGGCUGCAUCCAGAGUAACUGAGACUACUGCAUAGCCAGUUGCAAACAGAGCAGCAAUGGCUGCAGCCAGGAACCGGCCCUGGAGGGAAAGAGAAAACUCUGCGUUCUUCUACAAUCCAGCCUUGGAUUAUGGUUCUGAUCCAUUUGUUGCAAUUGGCUCAGCGGUAACUUCUUGCAGCCACUGCCUUGCAAUGAGACGGAAAGGAGAAGCUCCAGGGAUAUGCUGCUACAGUGGCAAAGUUCAACUGCCCCAAAUGAAUGAUCCUCCUGAGCCCCUUCAUACAUAGUUGACAGGCAACACUCCAGAUGCACGUCAUUUCCAAAGCAACAUUAGAAGAUCCAACUCAUGCUUCCAAACGACAUCUUUUGGCACCACAAAAGACAUCAGAGAAUCUGGUUACAUGUCCACAUUUAAAGUGCAGAGGUUUAUCAUCAGAUUGGCAGUCUGAUGCCACUCCCAAAUGAAGAGACCAAAUUCCUGCAGAUCUACUUCAUGGGUGACAAUACAAAGCAGGCUGAACAGCAUUAAUAGUAAAUUUCUAGUCCUUGUGGUUUUAGAUAAAACAGCAUUGCAACAAUGUCAUUCAAAUCAACCUGCAGGUGGCAUUGCAGUUGCAAGACAUGAUACACAAGGAAAACAACUCUGUUCACAGUUUCAAGUGUGCCAUGGAGAAGAUGACUCCAGAGUAUAAUGUUGUCAUUCAUGCAGACAAAACUCCAGCUGGUGAGCAUGAGCGGCGCUUCAAUGCACCCAGAACAUCAGAAGUGGCUGUCAUUCUGGCUGGUGAACAACAUGGCAAUCGAAACGUUGUUUUGCAACUCAGGAAUAACUCCCUCAAGAGAAUUACUGAGACACGCCAAUCAUAUGAUGCACUUCAGUAUCCACUAAUUUUCUGGCAGGGUGAUGAUGGCUACCAUUUCGAAUUGAAACUCAUAAACCCAGCAACAGGCCUGCCAACUCAAAAGAAGAUUUCUGCCAUGGACUUUUAUGCCUACAGGAUGAUGCUGUGAGCUAGAAGUUUCAAUUGCGUCUUGCGAUGCAAAGAUCUCUUCCACCAAUUUCCUGUGGACAUGUAAGGUGGGCCUUGCUACAUGCAUGAGCACACUCAGGAGGGUACAAAAGAACACACAGCGGCACCUACUGGCUAGAGGCUGGAAGACCGUGCCCCCUCAUGGCAAAGGGGAUUAAUUGAAAGUCUUUGGAGUCUGGCUGUUUGCACGAACAAAAUCCACAGUUGGAGCAGCGUAACUGCAAAGCUCCGCCAAUUAUAAAACAUCUCCAAGUAGUGUUUGUUUAAGGCGCUAAAUGGAUUUUAAAGCGGCAGAAAAUUCCGGGUCAUGCAAACACAAAUGCAGUUGCAUCAACAUAAAUAGGAAAUUUCAUUUCAUCUACACACGUCCCCUGGCAGUUAUGUCUCUGACAACAUAUAGAUAUUCACUUAUAAAUGGAAAUGAUAAAUUUGACUUGAAGUGCAUGCAUGUCCCUGAAAUUAGAAACAUAUGACUGGAAAGAAUCUACUAGAACAUGGAAUCCAGACCCUUGCUAUUACAGGCAACCAUGUCCUAUGUGCUUUUUCAUAAAUUUAUCAACUUCCAUUUUAAAACCAAUUACAGUGUAUGCCCAUUACCCUGUCUAGAAGCUGGCUUCAAUACUUCACUGCUCCAGCAGUAUUUCCAGCCUAAACUCUCAUGACCAGUUAAUAACAAUUUGUUCCUAGGCCCAGGUUGUCCUUUAGUCUGAAUAGCUCUUAUUCUCUGGCAUUCACCCCACUUAAAUAUUUACUGCGAAUGGGAAGGAUGGUUUGAAGUAAACCAACAUAAAGCUUUAUGGAUCUAUUUUCAAAAGUAUUCAUGAUGCACAUGGUUGAAGCAUAGAGCAGGCUGGUAGACUUGAGGAUGUCACCUUAGUUAAAUCUUACAACACCUGAAAAUCUAAUACAUCUUUUCUUGGCAUAUUCUUCCUUACAUUCCCAAUAAAUUUUCUGU